UCUUACAAUAUCUUAAGCGUUACGUCAUCAUCGUUUUUGCGCUCGAAUGACGUCAUGUCUAACAGCUGUCAGAGUCUAAACAUUUGCUAGGUUGAUAUGGGUAUUAAAUUCAUUUUCAAAACAAAUUUUAUCUAUGAGAAAAAAAUUAAUAUGAACUGAGAGGAGACUGAUACAAAACAUGUGCGACCACCAUCGGGAUAUCGUCGUGUUCAUUUUGCUGCUUUUAGAAGAACAAAUUAUCGAAAGCAUUGUUUUAGCGUUUUUUUUAAUUACUAGGAAGAGGACGUCUUCAUCUACAAUACCUAUUUCUGGAAUCAGCCCUAAUAUCCAGAGCAAAUCAUUCCAGAUCCAUAUAUAGGGAAGGCUGGAUAAAUUUAUAUCUAGAUAUAGACUUUUACAUGUUAUUUCGAAUGGAAAAACGAUCAUUCUAUAAACUAUUAGAAAUUGUAAUGUGUCCUGACAUAGCAAAAGUGUAUAAAGGGUGGAGAAUUGCCUGUGGGACCUGAAAAGAGUCUUCUAAUCACCCUGUGGUGGCUUGGAAAGGGAGAUACAUUAACUUCAAUUUCUGAUCGGUUUGAUGUAGCUUGUUCCACAGCUCAUCACUAUGCUAAUAUAUUAUUAGAAAGGCUUGUGGGUUUAUUACCAAAAUUUAUUUCAUGGCCGAAUGAAGAAGAGUGCUUGACCAUUGAACAACAAUUUAGGGAAAUUUGUGGUUAUCCAGGGGUGAUUGGAGCUAUUGAUGGCUGCAAUAUAAAUUUCAAGGCUCCCCUGAAACAGCAAAAUAGCUAUAUUGAUAAAAAUUCAAACCAUAGCAUAAAGAUGCAAGCUGUUGUUACUGCUAAAAGGAUAUUUACAAAUAUAAAUGUUGGAUUUCCGGAUUCAGUUCAUGACUCUAGGGUACAUUGCCAGCUGUAAUAUUUACAAAAAAAAUGAUGUAUUUUGGUUGUGUAAUAUUUCAUUUAAAUUUUGUUACUUAAUUCUUUUAGAUUUUUAAUAAUAGUCAGUUGUUCCUACAAACACAAGAAAAUAUCCAAAAAUAUUAUCCUUUAGAAGACUACCAUAUUUUAGGUGACAAGGCUUAUCCACUUUUAGGUUGGUUGUUGACGCCUUUUAAAGACUAUGGAAAGUUGAAUCAAAGGAAAACUAUGCACAACUUAAAACACAGUAAAACUAGAAUUCCAGUUGAACACACAUUCGGUAUAUUAAAAGGACGGUGGAGAAUAUUAAAAUAUAUAAAUGUAAAUUGACCUAAAAAGGCAACAAAAAUCAUUGUUGCAUGCUGUGUCUUGCACAAUUACUGUUAUGAAAACCUGGAUGAAUGGACUGGUGAAAUAGAUGAAAAUGAUAAUGACAAUGAAAUUGGUAUAUUAAUCCAAAUUCAAAAUGAGAAUCUUGGAUUUUAUAAGAGAGAGCAAAUUUGUGACCUUUUUGUCUAAAGAAGAAAUGUUAGAAGUGUACAAAAGUGUAAUUAGCAACAUGUU